GACGAGGGACCUAGCGUUGUUCGGAAUCAUUGGGCGUAAAGCGCAUGUAGGCUGCCAUUCAAGUCAGUUGUGAAAGCCCCGGGCUCAACCCGGGAAGUGCUUCUGAUACUGUUUGGCUUGAGUACUAGAGAGGAUAGUAGAAUUCCAGGUGUAGUGGUGAAAUACGUAGAUAUCUGGAGGAACACCGGUGGCGAAGGCGGCGACCUGGGUAGAUACUGACGCUGAGGUGCGAAAGCGUGGGGAGCAAACAGG
rnacentral:rRNA from 1 species